AUCUUUAGGGCCGCUCGGGUUAAUAUAUGUCGUCAGAGGCGCCCCACGCCAAUCCCGGGGCGGCGGGGGCGGUGCCUGGCGCUCUCCGCAAUAAAACUUUUUGAUGUUCUGGUUGCUAAUUGCCGAGGUCCUCUUCCAGGAUUGGCUGCCCCUUCAGAACCAGAAGAUAAUUAAAACGAAGGUGGGGGGGGGCAGGGUUAAAAAAACUUUUUUAUCAGCCAGAGGUUAAUGCAAGUGUUUAACAGAUGCUUCACUAUUAAAAUAUUCUGCCCCCACCCCCGAGACGCAAAUAUUGAAGAAGCUCAAACCAGGGACCCCGGCCUCCACCCCAGCGAUCGGCGAUUUCAAAGCUCGGGCACCUCGAUCCCCCGAAUUUGUGGUGUGGCGGGGAUCGGUGUUCCCCUGGUUUAACUAGCCUGUUUGAAGGCGCAGAUCUUUCUUGCGGAUGUAAAAAAAAAAAACAAAAAAAACAAAAAAAACGGCAACCAGUGCCCCCUCCCCCCUGGCAGAUCUUCAUUUCCCUGGUCUACAUCUGCCUGUGAUUCCAGAAAGACAAACUUCAGAAUGGCUCAGGUACAUCUCUAACCAGGAAUGUGUGGCUGUGAUAGUUAGGAGCUCUGGUGAGUGUGCCCCUCUGCCAUUUUCCUACCCCCGCCCAUGAAGUUCAGGGCUCCAGAAACAGUCCAAGUCUAUCUGCGGGUGUUGUCCCAAAGCCCUGAGUUUUCAGUCCUAAGAGAGAAUGAACUUUGCUUCAGGACAUGAUAGCUCAUGGUUUCCUGAGUGAGGGGACAGUUCCGAGAUGGGAGCAGGUGGUGGAAGUGUCCCCACCCCACAUUGUUCCCUAAUGUGGAUCUGGCACCCCUUGCCUGCCAGUGUACCUGACAAUCAACCCAUCUCUGUCUCUCAAGGAAUACACACUUUGAUUUUUUUCUAGGUCCAGCUUAAGUGCCACCUCCUCCAGGCAGCCUUUCCAGGCAUUGCUGCCUCUCUGCUUGUCCUCUAAGCCUCCAUUAUUCUGCAUACCUUUCUGGGUCUCCUUCAUACAGUUUCUGGUAGAUGCCUGGAAGUCAUCUGCUGUGAUGGCCCCCUGAGAGCCCAGCAUGCACUGCACCCAGUAGGUGCCUCCACAGCCCUGCAGAAGGGACUACCUAGCGAAUGUGGAUGAAUUCCAUUUAUUCAGAUCUCAAUGCACUGAUUUUCUUUAUUUUGUUUAUUUUUAAAGAUUUAUUUAUUUAUACAUACAAGAGCUGGGGUACAGGCCAGAGGUGUGGGAAGCGGGAGGAUUCACCAGAGACAGAGUGGGGAGCAGAACAGGCAGAUUGACCAAAGUACACUGCUGAGAGGAGCAGUGGGCGAGCCAGGAGAGGUCUGCUGCGCCAUGUGGGUAUCUCCCUGGCCAGUGUGGGAUCGAACUCCUGCCACAGUGGCUGCGAAUUGCUUCAUAGUGCGAUUUAACCCCUUGCACCACCAGGGAGGAGCUGGACUUCAUCUCCAAUUCCUGUGACAACCCGAGAAGGCCCCGGCUGUGGGCCCCGGGGGAGACGCAGGCUGGGCCCGCCUCGCCGGUGUGUUCCCCGGAACUCCUGGGACCCUGAGGCAGAGCUGGUCAGGGCGAGUCUUGGCUUCGCACGGAUUGGCUGCGUGACCUCUGGCAACCGUAGAUUUGCCAUCGAAUCGGACCUCGAGGAUGUGCAAGGAAGACGGAAUGAAACCAAGGUCCACGCGGCCGCGAGGCGCCUUGGCACUCGGCCUGCGCUCGCGGAUCUUUCUGUAUUUUCCCUCCACGCCGCCGCGGGUCCGCUGACCACCCUUC